AACUCGCUUGGGUCUUCUUCCACAGUGGAGACUUUGCUCUUUAGCUCUUUGCAGUAAAUCUUGAUGCUGCUCACUAUUUGGGUGCGGACUGUCUUUUUGAGCUGUAACACUCAAGGGGAAAGUCUGCAGCUUCAUUCCUGAGACCAGCAAGACCAUGAGCUCUCCAAGAGAAAUAAACAGCUGCGGAUGUGCCGCUGUAAGAGCUGUGACAUUCGCCGGGAAAGUCUGCAGCUUCAGUCGUGAAGCCAGCGAGAUCAUGAAGCUACCAGAAGGAAGAAACUCAACACGUCCGAAUAUUAGAAGGAACAAACUCUGGACACACUAUCUUUAAGAACUGUAAUACUCAUCGCGAGGGUCCGUGGCUUCAUUCUUGAAGUCAGUGAGACCAAAAACCCGCCAAUUCCGGACACAGUACGAAAGUGGACUAAUACGGGCUGGUGUGAGUAAAGCUGCCCUGAACACUCGGGGACAAGUCUUUGUGUGCAUGUAUGUUUUUAUUUGUUUUGGAUGAUGUCUUUCUCUCUUUGUAGAGGGCAAAAUUAUUUCUAGAAUCCCCGGACCAGACUUUCACUUAUGUAUCAUUGGCCAGUCCUAGUCACCCUCUCAUCUCCAAACCAAUACCUAAAAAAGGAAAUGGAGGCACAUUGGAGCAAUCCCUUGACAUCCUUUGGGGUUGGGGGAUUGAGGUCCUCGCAGGAGCGAGUUGCCUCCCUGAAUAGUCAGCCUUACCAACACAGGAAAAAGGAAGGAGUAAUUUUUGGGUAUGCAGCCAUCCGUGUCUGUCACAUUACUUUACCCGUGAGUAUUUUUACUACAGAAUAUAGUAGUAGCAUUAUUUACAUUUCACAGUGAGAGUCUUUUCUCUGACAUAAAGGUGCUUAAGCAGAUCCAUUGCCAAGAGAUAUUCAACAAUAGUCGUAGGAAUAAGCAGAGAAGAGACAAACAUAAAGUUGACAGAAAGAGAAUUGCUCUGGGGAAUAUGAUAUGAGGGCACAAGCAUCAUAUGGAGAGAAUUUUACCAACUGGCUGCCAGAUGUGGGCCUGCCCUGGGCUGAGGCACAGCUGGUCUGCCCUACAGUAAAUCAGAUGUGGGAGGCAAGUGCCAUCUGGCACGUAAACUUGGCAGAGCCUGGAAAGACAAGUGAACUCACGUGUGAAGUACUUAUUAUUAUGGAUGAACAUGAGCAGAGCUCUGGCACCAGCAGCAGGGCGAGCAGUUUCCUUCACCUAGGGUCUUAGGUCUCAUCUGCUGCUGCCACAGCGCGGCCAGCCGAGGGACUCCCUGGCCCUCAGCACCUCUUCUCUGGUCGAGGCUGACUUUGCUUUAGUUAUGAGGAGCUAAGGAGUUUGGCCCUUUAAUUUCAGCCCUGAUUUAGCAUUUCUGCCCUUUCUCACUUCUUCCCUUGUACUCUCUUCCUAAGAGUUUGUUUCCCUUUGCUAAGCUUCUCAAGUGCAGGGACCAGAUCUUGCAUAUUGUAUUCGCUGUUUCUGCUCCUGGCAUUCUGCCUUGCACAAAGUAGGUGCUCAACAAGGCAUUGCAAAAAUGUCUUCGCCACAGAUAAAGACCAGAGGGAAGUAUUGUGAAAGUGGUAUUUCCACCCUCCACUGUUUGCAUCUAUUUCCAAAUACCGGUUGAUUGGUAACAUCUAAGACGGAUCACAGCAAAUAUUGUACAUGUUUAGUGCACAAUUCGGUUAACAUUGCCCUAAAAGAUUCCAUUAACCAUAAUUCUGAUAUAUCCACUACUAAGAAUCGUAAAAUGUUCGAGCUGAAAGGCACUCUAGAGAUGAGCAUUUACGAGGCCCAGAGAUUUGAAGGACUUGCACAAGGCCAUAUUGGAAACAGAACAGAACAGUUAUCUAUAACCCACUUUAUUCCUGCAAGAAUUUAAACUGGGUUUUAAGGAUAAAUAAAAUAUAAGCCAGC
rnacentral:lncRNA from 1 species